ensembl:rRNA n-R5s182 nuclear encoded rRNA 5S 182
GUCUAUUGCCAUACCACCUGAUCUUGUCUGAUCUCAGAAGCUAAGCAAGAUCGGCCUGGUUAGUAAUUGGAUAGGAGACUGCCUGGGAAUACUGGGUGCUGUAGGCU